rnacentral:lncRNA from 1 species
CAGGGUUUGGAGGAAGAUCCAGUGAGAUAAUGAUGACGAGAGGCACCACUGAGUUCGCUUGCUCUGCGAUCUUCUGAAAAUGGACGAAAGAAAGGCUUUAUAAUUCAAAAGAUCUGUGGUCCCAGGGACACGAAUUCCUUGUGUGGGCGUCUAGGACACAGCCACAAUAGACACUGCACAGGAAGACCUGAAGCUGGCAGAGCCUUAUUCCAGAGUCCAGCAAAGCAAGUCCUACCGCCUUUUCCAGGGUCCCUGAUUGGCAUCAUGCUUCAGGGAGGAAUGGGCUUAGAACACACGUCCACUUCAAUCUGCUUUCAGCUCUGUUGGAAUUUGUGAACUCUUGUUAAUUAGCCUCCUCAGCUGCUUGCCUACCAUGGAUUUACUCUCCCUUCUCAGAAGCAGACACAUUCCUGAAGAUUUGCGCAACCUGACCACAGAAACGUCACACUUCAAGCCCAGGUAACUAGAGGCAACCAAAUAGUGUCCAGUCAGCCAAUGGCCACUGAGCAACCAAGGGAGCCCAGAACCCUGUACGAGGCAACUGUGAUAUAUAUGGAAGAAAAGAGCAGCCCAAGCCUCCUGACUGUGUCUGGGUCACUGUCCUCAAAAAGUCCGGUGGAAAAAGAAUGAUGCAGGCCAGAAGGCCGGGGGGCUGGGGUGGUGGGAGAGAGAGAGAGAGAGAGAACGUGUGGAAGAGCCUGGUUGCCCUACAGAGCCAGGGAAGGAAAUCAGGUGGAAGGGAGCCCCCAGGUCACACACCUGAAGGUGUCACUGCCAACUCCCCAGAGGCCAAAAAGCCCGGGUCAGCCAGUCAAGAAGUGGAUUUUCUUCUAAACCUGAAGCCCCAGAAUGAAACCACCCAGUUCCCGCCUCUUUUCCACCAGCUGUGUCAGAGACUCUACCAGUGGAACCUCAUCUUCAGCCUUCAUUUCCAGUGUUGGUUUUGUUUAAUAUGGCAAGGCAGGAAAAUGUUCGUGUAGGGAUCUGCCCUAGGUUAAGUUGUGCUGAAGGACGGAGGAGAGAAUUCAAGAAGCGGCGCAAACCACCACCAACAGCUCUGCAACCGAGGUGGGGCCUUCGCCAAUUAGGAUUGGAACGGUGGGGUUCAAAUAAAAAAACUGAUGUGAAAGCCCGACCUGGUCCAUCGGAACCACAUAAACGCAUUUGUUCUUUCCCUGUGGUAGAUGUUGCCCUUUGUGGGAGGGCGGAGGAGGGAGAAGCAGCUUCCAUAUUGAGCCGGUACAUUUUGUGACUGCCCCGGAGCGUCAUCACCUCCACUCCUGCCAUCCCAGUCCAAGACCUCUCCUCCUGAAUGGCCUCCCUGCUUGCACUCUUCGCUCCUAGAGUUUAUUCUCCACACAACAGCCAGAGUGAUGUUUUUAAACACAGAAAUUGUAUCUUGUCACUUUCCUGUUGAAAACUCUUCAAACG